AGAGUUUGAUCCUGGCUCAGGACGAACGCUGGCGGCGUGCUUAACACAUGCAAGUCUAAGGAGAAAGUUCCUUCGGGAGCGAGUAAACUGGCGAACGGGUGAGUAACGCGUAGGUAACCUACCCUUAAGCUCGGAAUUUGGAUUAAUACCGCAUAAUACUCCAGGUACUUAGGUACUUGGGCUCAAAGCUGGGGACUCGGGAAAUCGGGCCUGGCACUUGGAGAGGAGUUCGCGUCAGAUUAGCUAGUUGGUGGGGUAAUGGCCUACCAAGGCAUCGAUCUGUAGCCGGCCUGAGAGGGUGAUCGGCCACACUGGAACUGAGACACGGUCCAGACUCCUACGGGAGGCAGCAGUGGGGAAUUUUGCGCAAUGGGGGAAACCCUGACGCAGCAACGCCGCGUGGGUGAUGACGCAUCUUGGUGUGUAAAGCCCUGUCAGAAGAGACUAAGGUUGCCAAUUUUAAUAGAUAGGUAACUUGACUGUAUCUUCAGAGGAAGCCCCGGCUAACUCCGUGCCAGCAGCCGCGGUAAUACGGAGGGGGCAAGCGUUAUUCGGAUUUACUGGGCGUAAAGGGCGCGUAGGCGGCCCGAUAAGUUAAGGGUGAAAUCCCGGGGCUCAACCCCGGAACUGCUCUUAAAACUGUUUGGCUAGAGACAAAUAGAGGUGGGUGGAAUUCCAGGUGUAGAGGUGAAAUUCGUAGAUAUCUGGAGGAACACCGGUGGCGAAGGCGGCCCACUGGAUUUGUUCUGACGCUAAGGCGCGAAAGCAUGGGGAGCAAACGGGAUUAGAUACCCCGGUAGUCCAUGCCGUAAACGAUGAAUACCAGCUGUUUGACCCAUCGACCGGUCAAGUGGCGCAGCUAACGCGUUGAGUAUUCCGCCUGGGGAGUACGGUCGCAAGACUAAAACUCAAAGGAAUUGACGGGGGCCCGCACAAGCGGUGGAGCAUGUGGUUUAAUUCGACGCAACGCGAAGAACCUUACCUGGGUUUGACAUCCUUGGCCCGCUAUAGAGAUAUAGUUUUCCCUUCGGGGACCAAGUGACAGGUGCUGCAUGGCUGUCGUCAGCUCGUGUCGUGAGAUGUUGGGUUAAGUCCCGCAACGAGCGCAACCCUUAUCCUUAGUUGCCAGCACGUAAUGGUGGGAACUCUAGGGAGACUGCCUGUGUCAAGCAGGAGGAAGGUGGGGAUGACGUCAAGUCCUCAUGGCCUUUAUAUCCAGGGCUACACACGUGCUACAAUGGCAACUACAAAGAGCAGCGAGGUCGCGAGGCCAAGCGAAUCUCAAAAAAGUUAUCUCAGUUCGGAUCGCAGUCUGCAACUCGACUGCGUGAAGUUGGAAUCGCUAGUAAUCGUGGAUCAGCAUGCCACGGUGAAUACGUUCCCGGGUCUUGUACACACCGCCCGUCACACCAUGGGAGUUGACAUUGGCAGAAAACAUUGAGCUAACCUUCGGGAGGCAGAUACUCAAGCUAGUGUUGAUGACUGGGGUGAAGUCGUAACAAGGUAACC
rnacentral:rRNA from 1 species